UGUAGCGUGGAGCAGUUGGUAGCUCGUCGGGCUCAUAACCCGAAGGUCGCAGGUUCAAGUCCUGCCGCUGCAACCA
rnacentral:tRNA from 1 species